rnacentral:rRNA from 1 species
AUUGAACGCUGGCGGCAGGCCUAACACAUGCAAGUCGAACGGUAACAGGAAGCAGCUUGCUGCUUCGCUGACGAGUGGCGGACGGGUGAGUAAUGUCUGGGAAGCUGCCUGAUGGAGGGGGAUAACUACUGGAAACGGUAGCUAAUACCGCAUAAUGUCGCAAGACCAAAGAGGGGGACCUUCGGGCCUCUUGCCAUCGGAUGUGCCCAGAUGGGAUUAGCUUGUUGGUGGGGUAACGGCUCACCAAGGCGACGAUCCCUAGCUGGUCUGAGAGGAUGACCAGCCACACUGGAACUGAGACACGGUCCAGACUCCUACGGGAGGCAGCAGUGGGGAAUAUUGCACAAUGGGCGCAAGCCUGAUGCAGCCAUGCCGCGUGUAUGAAGAAGGCCUUCGGGUUGCAAAGUACUUUCAGCGGGGAGGAAGGGAGUAAAGUUAAUACCUUUGCUCAUUGGCGUUACCCGCAGAAGAAGCACCGGCUAACUCCGUG